AUGGCGGGCGCCGGCGGCAGGAGCAGGGAGCGGCUCACGUCGCGCGCGGAGGAGGCUGCGGGGGGCAAGCGGCGGAGGCAGAGGUGGGAGGUGGAGUUCGCGCGCUACUUCGCGAAGCCGCGGCGCGCCCCCUCGACGCCGCCGCCCCCCGGCCUCCGCUACAUAUCCCGCGGCAAGCAACUCCACCAGGGCACCUGGCUCCUGGCCGCCUCCCCCGCCGCCCUCUGCAUCUCUCGCCCCACCCACUCCUUCGCCGCCCGCGUCCUCACCGUCUCCAUCGGCGACGUCGUCUACGAGGAGCACUAUGUGUCUAUCCUCAACUUCUCAUGGCCACAGGUUGCAUGCGUGACAGAGUGCCCAGUUAGAGGGAGCAGGGUGGUGUUCGUGAGCUUUUGUGAUAGGUCCAAACAGGUCCAGAAGUUUGCUGUACGUUUCGCUCGCCUCAGUGAUGCAGAAUCAUUCUUGAAUAGUGUGAAGGAACUCUCAAGCAACACCAUGGACAUCAUGCCAUCUGGAAGCGACUAUAUGUGUGAGCAUGAAGAUUCAUCAUCAUCUGAAUAUAUUCCUUCUAAUGGACUUCAAUACAGGCCUGAUGAAGCGGUAAGCUUUGAGGAGCCAACUUCUGAUCACAGGACAGAUGCACCUGCUGUUGGCUACCACAUGGAACCAGAUCAGCCUGUUCUUCAAUCUCCCAUUGCUACAAAUAUCAAUAGCAUCUGCUCUGGUUUUCCUGAGGGUUACUCUGGCUUCCCUGAGGGUUACUCUGGUUUCCCUGAGGGUUACUCUGGUUCAGUUAAAAUUGAGAGAGAUGGAGGACCCUUUCCAGCAACUAUAACUGAUCAUGCUCCUGAAAAGGCCUACAUACUGGACACUCGGCUUGAUGCUGCCGGUGGAAAUUCGGUUGCUGAUAAAGGAAAGGGUGCUGGUAAAGAGAUUGAUGUUAGUGACGUAACACGUGAUAUUUUGGCAGGGAUAGAGACAUAUGUGGGGGAUGACUCUUUUCAUGAUAUGCUGUCCAAGCUCGACAAAGCCAUUGAUGAACUGGGUGGUGACAUGUUGCUUGCCUCUUGA
rnacentral:rRNA from 1 species